rnacentral:rRNA from 1 species
GGGAUAAUUUAUCUCUGUGUUGUAGCUAACGCGUUAAGCACUCCGCCUGGGGACUACGGUCGCAAGACUAAAACUCAAAGGAAUUGACGGGGACCCGCACAAGCGGUGGAGCAUGUGGUUUAAUUCGAUGCAACGCGAAGAACCUUACCACUUCUUGACAUGGAGAUUAGAUCCUUCUUAACAGAAGGGCGCAGUUCGGCUGGAUCUCGCACAGGUGCUGCAUGGCUGUCGUCAGCUCGUGUCGUGAGAUGUUGGGUUAAGUCCCGCAACGAGCGUAACCCUCAUCCUUAGUUGCCAGCGGGUUGAGCCGGGCACUUUAAGGAGACUGCCAGUGGUAAACUGGAGGAAGGUGGGGAUGAUGUCAAGUCAGCACGGCCCUUAUGGGGUGGGCUACACACGUGCUACAAUGGUGACUACAAUAGGUUGCAAUGUCGUAAGGCUGAGCUAAUCCAUAAAAGUCAUCUCAGUUCGGAUUGUCCUCUGCAACUCGAGGGCAUGAAGUCGGAAUCGCUAGUAAUCGUGGAUCAGCAUGCCACGGUGAAUACGUUCUCGGGUCUUGUACACACUGCCCGUCACGCCAUGGGAAUUGGCUUAACUCGAAGCUGGUGCGCUAACCGAAAGGA